UGCUGAGUGGUAGAAAGCUCUGGUCUUGAAAACCGGCGAACGUGCAAGCGUUCCGUGGGUUCGAAUCCCACCCUCACCGCCA
rnacentral:tRNA from 1 species